UACGUAGGGUGCGAGCGUUGUCCGGAAUUAUUGGGCGUAAAGGGCUCGUAGGCGGUUUGUCGCGUCGGGAGUGAAAACCUUGGGCUUAACUCAGGGCUUGCUUUCGAUACGGGCAGACUAGAGGUAUGCAGGGGAGAACGGAAUUCCUGGUGUAGCGGUGAAAUGCGCAGAUAUCAGGAGGAACACCGGUGGCGAAGGCGGCAUCCUGGACCGAUAUUGACGCUGAUGCGCGAAAGCCAGGGGAGCAAACGGG
rnacentral:rRNA from 1 species